GCCAGGAUGGUUUAGUGGUUUGACUGUUGGAUUGUGACUCUUGAGGUCAGGGUUCAAAUCCCAGCUUGACC